CUGUAGUGCAAUACGGCAAGUGCGGCGCAGGAAGGCGCAGACCAGGAUGGGCCAGAGGACAGGGACUGAUACGGUAGUUCGUUACAAAGAUUAGCUGGGAACAAAGCGCUGAAUCCAGACAACGCAAGUUCACCAGUCAACCGUGCAAGCAAGCGCAAGUCAGAACCCGCCCACCCGCCCAUCGAUGUGGUGGGGACAGGGGAGGAGGACGAGCCACGAUGUGAGCGCCAGGGCUAAGAGGGGCAGCACCAGCAGGAGGCGGAGGCUAGGAUUUGGGACCGGAGCCGCGAGGGACACGAGUGGGCCGAGAGGUGUCGGUAUAACGCUCCAGGACUUGAGUGCUGCGGAUCUGGGAGAACACGUGGAGCUCCGCGUGGGAGGCGCAAGCGGCCUGCGUGGCCUGGAUAGUACCACAACGAAACCCAUGAGGGGUUUGACCGACAUAGACACCAGCCUCCUCCAGGUGUUUGCCCAUUCGCAUGGCUAACAUGCUGCUGGAAAAUGGACGCUCCACAAAGCGUUGGUGACCCUGGUCAGUGGGACGGAAAAGGUAGUCGGAGAUUGCAGACCCUGGGGGGGCGCCGGGGGCAUGGCACAGCUGCCAAUAGAGGGCGAGGGUGCGGAUGAAGCAAUGUCACGGAGAGGAGUCGGGGCGCAGUUCCAACGGGGGAGCUCGGCACCCCUUGGAUGUUUUGGUCCCGAGUUGCUCAAUCCGUAAGGAAAGGGAGGGGUAGGCGCCAAACGGGUCCGGUAGAGGCAGGGGAAACCCACGGAAGGGACCCCCACCACGCGGGUCACGGAAGUCACGUAGCCGCAGUUUGCCUGUGUCAUGGCCGCGGUAGCUGGUGUGCCACAUGACUUUGGAGUGGAAUACCGCAAGAAGUCGUGGGGGUAAAGGAGCGUGUUGACUGGUUGUUGAGUAGACUACCCAUCAGAUGGGAAGCAACCGGGAGUGCAAAUGGCGAAGUAUAAGCACUGGAUGGGGCUGCCCUUUUCGGGAGCCGCAGCCGUCAUGUGGCCAACACAUGCUAAGGUUUUCAUUCCUCGUUUAGCACAUCGUAAGGUAAUGCAGUUUCGUUUAUGUUGUUGGGCUUUCGAGGCAAACAGAGCAUGAAGGGGCAAGUACCACGUCCCCAGGGGGCAGCGGUUUUGCCACUGUUGUGGUACUAAUAGCCGAAUUGAGGAUGUGAACGCCUGUUAAUAGAAUGCCCAGCCUGUAAUGAUAUUCGUGCUGAAGAGGGAUUCGGUCAUCAACAGAGCAUGUUGGAGGCC
rnacentral:lncRNA from 1 species